GCUGACUCUUUUCAGACUCAGCCCGCCUGCACCCAGGUGAAAUAAACAGCCAUGUUGCUCACACAAAGACUGUUUGGUGGUCUCUUCACACGGACAUGCAUGAAAUUUGGUGCCGUGACUCGGAUCGGGGGACCUCCCUUGGGAGAUCAAUCCCCUGUCCUCCUGCUCUUUGCUCCAUGAAAAAGAUCCACCUACGACCUCAGGUCCUCAGACCCACCAGCCCAAGGAACAGCUCACCGAUUUUAAAUCGGAGAAGUUUACAAAACAGGGAGGAAGACUUCUACACCUCACAGCCAGGAUUCCCUGCUCUGGCUCUCGGCUGCUGCCUCAGGGUGAAUCUGUUGC
rnacentral:antisense_RNA from 1 species